AUUGAACGCUGGCGGCAGGCUUAACACAUGCAAGUCGAACGAUGAAGAUAUAGCUUGCUAUAUCGGAUUAGUGGCGGACGGGUGAGUAAUACUUAGGAAUCUACCUUUUAGCGGGGGAUAGCUCGGGGAAACUCGAAUUAAUACCGCAUAAUUUCUACGGAAUAAAGAGGGCUUUUAGCUCUCACUAGAAGAUGAGCCUAAGUAAGAUUAGCUAGUUGGUGGGGUAAAAGCCUACCAAGGCGACGAUCUUUAGCUGGUCUGAGAGGAUGAUCAGCCACACUGGGACUGAGACACGGCCCAGACUCCUACGGGAGGCAGCAGUGGGGAAUAUUGGACAAUGGGGGAAACCCUGAUCCAGCCAUGCCGCGUGUGUGAAGAAGGCCUUUUGGUUGUAAAGCACUUUAAGCAGUGAAGAAGACCUAUUGGUUAAUACCCAAUAGCGAUGACAUUAACUGCAGAAUAAGCACCGGCUAACUCUGUGCCAGCAGCCGCGGUAAUACAGAGGGUGCAAGCGUUAAUCGGAAUUACUGGGCGUAAAGCGAGCGUAGGUGGUUAAAUAAGUCAGAUGUGAAAGCCCUGGGCUCAACCUAGGAACGGCAUCUGAAACUAUUUAACUAGAGUAGGUGAGAGGGAAGUAGAAUUUCAGGUGUAGCGGUGAAAUGCGUAGAGAUCUGAAGGAAUACCGAUGGCGAAGGCAGCUUCCUGGCAUCAUACUGACACUGAGGCUCGAAAGCGUGGGUAGCAAACAGGAUUAGAUACCCUGGUAGUCCACGCCGUAAACGAUGUCUACUAGCCCGUGGGGGACCUUGAUUCCUUAGUGGCGCAGCUAACGCAAUAAGUAGACCGCCUGGGGAGUACGGCCGCAAGGUUAAAACUCAAAUGAAUUGACGGGGGCCCGCACAAGCGGUGGAGCCAUGUGGUUUAAUUCGAUGCAACGCGAAGAACCUCACCUGGUCUUGACAUACACAGAAUCCUAGCAGAGAUGCAAGAGUGCCUUCGGGAAUUGUGAUACAGGUGCUGCAUGGCUGUCGUCAGCUCGUGUCGUGAGAUGUUGGGUUAAGUCCCGCAACGAGCGCAACCCUUAUCCUUAGUUGCCAGCACGUAAUGGUGGGGACUCUAAGGAGACUGCCAGUGACAAACUGGAGGAAGGCGGGGACGACGUCAAGUCAUCAUGGCCCUUACGACCAGGGCUACACACGCGCUACAAUGGUAAGUACAAAGGGAAGCAACACAGCGAUGUGAAGCCAAUCUCAAAACGCUUAUCUCAGUCCAGAUUGGAGUCUGCAACUCGACUCCAUGAAGUCGGAAUAGCUAGUAAUCGUGGAUCAGAAUGCCACGGUGAAUACGUUCCCGGGCCU
rnacentral:rRNA from 1 species